UACAAAUUCUGAAUUUAUGACUUAAUAAAAUUUGAUUGUUUAUAUAUAUCAAGAAAUAUUUUAAAUAAAGUUAAAAAUAAAUGAAUAAACUUAUUUAUUUAUUAAAUAAAUAAAAACUAGAAAUAGUGUUUUUUGGUCAAACUAGAUCCUUUGGUAUUUGAAUUUUUGAAAAUACACAUAGCUUAAAUUAGAUAUUUUUCAAUUUCUGAUUCAUCUAUAAAUGUACUUCUCUGUCUUUCUAUUUUCUUAAAACGUCACCAUUUCACUAUCUACGAUGAAAAAUAUGUUUAAACCUUCGCUUAUUGGUGUUAUGCUCACAAUUCUUCUGCUCGGAGAAAUGGUGAUCGCUCAGAAAGGAGUACGCCCAUGUUACACAUCUUAUAGUUACAAAAACGGAAAAUGUACAUUACACACCUGCAAACGCCACUGUCUAAAAAAGUUUAAUAAAGAUGCGAUUGGUAGCUGCAUUCCUGCAGACAAAGGACAAACGAAAUGCGAAUGUACACAUCAUUGCCCUCCUUGAUUCUUUUUAUCUACACUAAAACUCAAAUAAUAUUUAUAAUAAUAGUACACUUUUGUCAAAAAAAAAAGAAUAAGAAUUUUAAUAAUUUCUUGCUGGUGUUUUUGACGUAAUAAAGUCUAUUAUGUUACUAAAUAUACAUAUAAAUAACAAAUAUUGAUACGUG